ACAAGGCCAGCUCUCUUUUUCAAAGCCUCGGCAUUAACAAUUACAGUUCUUUCUUUCUCUCUUUCUUUUGAUUCUUAGCUUCAAGAUAUGAGCUUGUUGUUGAAUUAAUAAUGUUUUUUUUUCUUUCUUCUGGCUUGUAUUUUGCUAAUGCCGCAUGCCGUUGGGGUUUUGCAAAGAGAGCUUCCUUUAGUCCACUCAUGGCCGGCUAUGGGAUCAAAUUAGCUGCUGACUCAUUCAUCCACGUUCCGAGCAAUGAAUGCCUUAAGGAGUUUGCUCGGUAGAUGAGUGAAUGAUGCGGGAGCUAAAUGGGUUCUCAUGCUGCCUUUGCUUGGACUGAAGGGAGCUCCCUUGUCUUCACAAUCCUCCUGCGCUGCACUGCACUGCACUGUGCAAGUUGAUUAAUCUUAAUUUGCAAGAUUAGUGGAGCAUUGUUGAACUCCCGCUGCGUUAGUUCCUCGCACAAGUUCCAAACUCCGCUGCUCCUUCCCCGAUGCCUGCCACUACUUGAUUAAAAUAAUUGCCUUAAGGUGCAGGAAUGCGGCGAUUCUUUCUUCCCAACCUCGCUCUGGAAUUGGCUGGAUGGUUCCAUGCGUCGUCUCCACUGGGGGGCGCUGUCUCUGAGUUCCAAGUGACCAUGGCGUGCAUGGCCGCCCAGUCCUCGAUGCUGCCUCCUGCCUGCUGCCGUUGCCGGUUUCUUUUGCGCUCUGUUCUCGAUUGAUGUCUUUUAAUAAGGUUACACCAAACUGGUCGUACAAAGACAGUAUGUUGUGUGCUUGUGUUAGUUAUUUUUUUAAAUGAGACUUUUGUUGAAAUUAGUCUUUACAAGGGGUGUUGAAAUCAGUCUUUACAAGGGUUCUUUGAUACAAACAAAGCAAGGAUAUGGUGUCUCUAAUCUUGGGGUAAGGCAUGUUUCUAAUGUUUUUUAUGUUCCUCAUCUCAAGCAUACUUCGUUGCAGGUGCGAGUGAAGUGACUCUUAAAAAGAUGCUUCCUCUCAAGCUUUGCUUUGCUUCGUUGACACUAUCAAGUCACAAAUCUAGGCUUAACACUCUCCAACCAGAUCAAAAAUCACGAGAGGCAUGUUGAAUCUUGGCUGACAAGAUCAAGUUUGUGAAAGUUGUGUUUUUGGAAGGGAUCAUGCAUCAGUAAGGCAAGAAGGGCUUGCCCACAACCAGUGUUCUUGUAGUCAUCAUUCAAUGUAUGUAGUCCAGUAGAUUGAAUGA